AUUGAACGCUGGCGGCAGGCCUAACGCAUGCAAGUCGAGCGGCAGCGGGAAUGUAGCUUGCUACUUUUGCCGGCGAGCGGCGGACGGGUGAGUAAUGCCUGGUGAUCUGCCCAGUCGAGGGGGAUAACUUCUGGAAACGGUAGCUACUACCGCAUACUCCCUACGCGGGAAAGCAGGGGAGCUUCGGGCCUUGCGCGUUUGUAUGAACCCAGGUGGGAUUAGCUAGUUGGGGAGGUAAUGGCUCACCAAGGCGACGAACCCUAGUUGGUCUGAGAGGAUGAUCAGCCACACUGGAACUGAGACACGGUCCAGACUCCUACGGGAGGCAGCAGUGGGGAAUAUUGCACAAUGGGGGAAACCCUGAUGCAGCCAUGCCGCGUGUGUGAAGAAGGCCUUCGGGUUGUAAAGCACUUUCAGCGAGGAGGAAAGGUUGGUAGCUAAUAACUGCCAGCUGUGACGUUACUCGCAGAAGAAGCACCGGCUAACUCCGUGCCAGCAGCCGCGGUAACAC
rnacentral:rRNA from 1 species